AGUGAACGCUGGCGGUAGGCCUAACACAUGCAGGUCGAACGGCAGCACAGUAAGAGCUUGCUCUUACGGGUGGCGAGUGGCGGACGGGUGAGGAAUACAUCGGAAUCUACUUUUUCGUGGGGGAUAACGUAGGGAAACUUACGCUAAUACCGCAUACGACCUACGGGUGAAAGCAGGGGAUCUUCGGACCUUGCGCGAUUGAAUGAGCCGAUGUCGGAUUAGCUAGUUGGCGGGGUAAAGGCCCACCAAGGCGACGAUCCGUAGCUGGUCUGAGAGGAUGAUCAGCCACACUGGAACUGAGACACGGUCCAGACUCCUACGGGAGGCAGCAGUGGGGAAUAUUGGACAAUGGGCGCAAGCCUGAUCCAGCCAUACCGCGUGGGUGAAGAAGGCCUUCGGGUUGUAAAGCCCUUUUGUUGGGAAAGAAAAGCAGCAGGUUAAUACCCCGCUGUUCUGACGGUACCCAAAGAAUAAGCACCGGCUAACUUCG
rnacentral:rRNA from 1 species